GACGAACGCUGGCGGCGUGCUUAACACAUGCAAGUCGAACGAAGUGGCGAACGGGUGAGUAAUACGAGGGUAACCUGCCCUGCGGUUUGGGAUACGGCUUGGAAACGGGGUCUAAUACCGAAUAAAGGGGGAUGGGAUAGCGGCCUAUGAGCUUGUUGGGGGGGUGCUGGGCUACUCAGGCGGGGACGGGUAGACGGCCUGAGAGGGUGACCGGCAACAUUGGUACUGAGAUACGGCCCAGAGUCGUAAGGGAGGGAGUAGUGGGGGAGAUUGCACAAGGGGUGAAAGGCUGAGGCACCGGCGUCGCGUGGGGGCUGAAGUCGUUCGGGUUGUAAACCUCUGUCGCUAUCGAUCGGGUAGGUGGAGAAGAAGCGCCGGCUAACUACGUGCCAGCAGCCGCGGUAAUAC
rnacentral:rRNA from 1 species